CCUACGGGCGGCAGCAGUGGGGAAUAUUGGACAAUGGGGGGAACCCUGAUCCAGCGACGCCGCGUGAGUGAAGAAGUAUUUCGGUAUGUAAAGCUCUAUCAGCAGGGAAGAAAGAAAUGACGGUACCUGACUAAGAAGCCCCGGCUAACUACGUGCCAGCAGCCGCGGUAAUACGUAGGGGGCAAGCGUUAUCCGGAUUUACUGGGUGUAAAGGGAGCGUAGACGGCGAUGCAAGUCUGAAGUGAAAGGCGGGGGCCCAACCCCCGGACUGCUUUGGAAACUGUAUGGCUGGAGUGCAGGGGAGGUAAGUGGAAUUCCUAGUGUAGCGGUGAAAUGCGUAGAUAUUAGGAGGAACACCAGUGGCGAAGGCGGCUUACUGGACUGUAACUGACGUUGAGGCUCGAAAGCGUGGGUAUCGAACAGGAUUAGAUACCCCAGUAGUC
rnacentral:rRNA from 1 species